AGAUGUAUUUUCACAAAAUGUCAUUGUUGGGACAGUAAAAAUGAGUUGGAGCCAUGCAUUCUAUGACAGUCAGACAUGGGAAAAGAUUCUUAAGGAUAGAAUGGGUUCUGCACUAAUGAUUGAAACAGCAAGAAACCCUACAUGUCCUAAGGUAGCUGCUGUAAGUACCAUAGUAAACAGAGGGAUAACGCCAAAAGCCUUUGUGUUCAGAAACUAUGGUCAUUUUCCUGGAAUCAACUCUCAUUAUUUGGGAGGCUGUCAGUAUAAAAUGUGGCAAGCCAUUCGAGCCUCA
rnacentral:lncRNA from 1 species